AGCGUUCAGAUGUGGACCAUUCGCGGCAUCCAUAUACUGUCAGCGACAUGAUGCGCUCGUUCAGAAUCUGAAGUUGAGGAACAUGACGCUUUUAAAAAGAGGACAGGAUCAGUCAGCUCUUUUAUCUUCCGUCGAGUUUAAGCAUUAAUUGAAUUGGCCCUGCUGCUUCCAUGACACACAACCAGGCAGGAGAAUAUAUGAGGAUCGACGGAUAUGUCAAUGUCAUUUAAAGAGGAUGAUUUUCUCUGAUGAAGAUGCCCGUCCUGUUCUGAAAAAGGAUGGUAGGAGGAGAAAGCUCCGUUCGCAGGGGUUUCCCUCCCCGGCACUCUGUUGUGCUUGCGGUCUCUGUAUCAUGCUGGCAGGCAUUAAUAUCACCCUGGUAGGCGCUCUUGCCUUUAACAAACUCCUCCCCUUCAACAAUCCUCCCAUCAUUAUCGGACCCAUCCUCCUACUGGUGGCCUUUUCAUUUUUUGGCAUGUGUUGCAUCUAUAGCCGUCGCCCCAUUGCCCCUCCCUCUCGUAUGUCUGCGGGAGGGGACCGCUGGCCAUCAAUGAGGAUGGAGAUGGAGAAUAGUGAACCCACACUUCAGGAUACCACGGCCAUCCAACUCAGUCCAACAAACUCUCCAAGCCCCUCCUGCCGCUGCAGCCCCACCCACCUUCCUGUUGCACUGCCCAGGGGACAGAACACCAUUGAUGAAUCAGACUCAUAGUUUGGGCCCUGCAAGACUGCGCAGCUUGAAGGAGAGCUAACGCCUGUCUGAUCUGGAAUCAAAAUUAUAUUUCUUGACAUGCAUGGGCAGACGUGCAGCUAAUCAGACGGGGCAAAUUAUUUUACAGGGGCAGUAAUAAAUUCUGUUCAGCAUCAUGAGCUUGCAGUGUCAGUCCUGCCUUUGGAGGAAGAAUUUGGUGUUAAAAUGAGAAAAACGUUGAAUGACUAAUUAUCUCAGAAAUGAAAGGAAGACUGGCUAAUAUAGGAUUAUCACGGGAUCCAUUCUAAACCAUUUGAUCUAACAAACUCAUCCUUUUGUCUGACAAAGCAAAUUGAAUGUGAUCUGAAAUGUGUCACUUAGAAAUCGAAAAUCAGGAACAAUUUGGGCUGAUAGGUGAGAAAUUCAGUUCACCUGGAAAAAUGUGAGAAAUUGCUAAGGAAAUGAGUUUUGUACAAUUCUACAGUUGUAACUUUUUAGGAAAAAUGUUACAUUUCAUAUUACAUUUAUGCCAUAUUGAUAAUUUAGUGGCCAUGAAAGACUUUCUCUAACAUAAAGAUAUUGUGUGAUUUUGUAAAUUUUCUGGUUGUUUUUAAAGAAUAAAAAUGGUAAUAUUGCUGUACUUAUUACUAUGUACAGUAUAGUGUGACCUAUGAAAUACGCUAAUAUCAAGUAAAUAAAGUAACAUAAUAAAAUAAUUU